GGCAAGGGUCCCGUCCGGAGGGGGUUGAAUGGGGGCCGGGCAGGCAGUGUCGGGAGCCUGGUGCAUUGCUGAGGGAGAGCUCAGUCCAGGGCUAGGCACUCCAGACUCUUGGGCCAGGGCAGGAUGGCUGCACCUGACCUUCUGGGUCGUGCCCCAGAGGAACAGCCCAGCCGAAGGGCCAAGGAUGAGCUCCGAAGGAGGAGAUUUAUUAAUUUCAGCGAGGAGAAGCAAAGGGAGAGAGAGAGAGAGAGAAUCCUCAAGCAGACUCCUCUCUGAGCAUGGAGCCAGACACAGGACUUGAUCCCAGGACCCUGAGAUCACGAGCCGAGCAGAAAUCAAGAGUCGGUUCGAGCCCCCCAGGCGCUCCACAGGAGGACUUCACGGAGGGCAUGCAGUAAUGGAGAGAAGCGUGGGCACAAUGGGGCAGGCAGCCAGACCCGGGAGUCUGAAGUCCAGGUCCCAGCUGGGGACACACAUUUGGCUGUCAUUGGCUUGUGGACCCAUGAGCUACGAUGAGAUCACUCUGGGAAAGAGUGUCGACAAACAGCCGCGGUGUUCCAGGAGUCAGAGAAUUCCGAAUCCCAACUCUUCAUUAAGAAGAUCGACUUCUAAAAAAAAAGAAGAAGAAGAAGAUCGACUUCUCUGUCUCUGUCUUCUCUGCACUGGGAGCAGCUCUCGUGCCACAGCCCCUCAUCCACUGAAGUGGACGCCUGUGCAAAGCGUGUCUCCACCCCCUUCUUGGGCAGGAGUGCCUCUCAGCUGUCCAUCACUGUCUGCAGCAGAGCUAAAACCACCAGAGUCACUGACAGAUGAGAGCCUAGCUGCUUGGCAGCCCCACGUCCCCUGACCUCACUUAUUCCCAGCGCAGCUUCCCACCCAGAGCUAUUUCAAGGGACACGGACACAGCAGCCAAGUUCACUGGGGCUGGGGCUGGGGCUGCCGCAGGAGGGGCGGCUGGUUCUGGGGCUGCAUCGCGACUGGGUUUGGGGGCCUCAUCACUGGUGAUGCCAGGAGCCCCUCUCUGAAGCCACAGCUCUCCUCCUACCCCUGGGCUUUGCCCUCUCGGAGGCCAUGGGGCUCUUGUGCCUGAUGCUGGCUGUUCCCCUCCUUGUUGCCGUGGGAAGGAGCCGUGUCCACUUCCCACAGGUCUCGACUGCCCUGUAUGUUCUUUCUCCUACACCUCUCCGGGCAGCCUGGGGAAAGUGGUUGGCUCAAGGUUUGGCAGAGGGAAGACAAAUAAAUACUGGAUUGAA